UAUUAACAGCUUCACCUCACACCUUCUGCUUCUAUAUAGGAUCAGUCACCUGCUUAAUACAGUCUCCCCUCUUCCCCCAGCCUCUGGGUUUUUAUAGCCAGAUGUUAGCACAGGCCACCAACCCAAUCAGUCCAUGGUGAUACCCCUGUCAGCUUUCCAGUUCUUUCAGGUGCUGGUCUCUUGUUGCUUGUUGAUCCACAGUCCAUGCUAAGGCUUGUUUUUGUUCAACAUUUUAUU